rnacentral:rRNA from 1 species
UACGUAGGGGGCAAGCGUUGUCCGGAUUUAUUGGGCUUAAGGAGCUCGUAGGCGGUUCGGUAAGUCGGAUGUGAAAACUCAGGGCUCAACCCGGAGACGCCAUCCGAUACUGCUGUGACUUGAGUCUGGUAGGGGAACACGGAAUACCUGGUGUAGCGGUGAAAUGCGCAGAUAUCAGGUGGAACACCGAUGGCGAAGGCAGUGUUCUGGGCCAGUACUGACGCUGAGGAGCGAAAGCGUGGGGAGCAAACAGG